AUCCAGUUGGCGAGUCCCAAAUAGGACGAAAUGCGCGUUGUGCUGAAU
rnacentral:hammerhead_ribozyme from 1 species